AUUCCCUACGGGGCGCAGCAGUGGGGAAUAUUGCACAAUGGGGGAAACCCUGAUGCAGCGACGCCGCGUGAGUGAAGAAGUAUUUCGGUAUGUAAAGCUCUAUCAGCAGGGAAGAAAAUGACGGUACCUGAUUAAGAAGCCCCGGCUAACUACGUGCCAGCAGCCGCGGUAAUACGUAGGGGGCAAGCGUUAUCCGGAUUUACUGGGUGUAAAGGGAGCGUAGACGGCAGCGCACGUCUGAAGUGAAAUGCCGGGGCUUAACC
rnacentral:rRNA from 1 species